GUACGGGAGGCAGCAGUGGGGAAUUUUCCGCAAUGGGCGAAAGCCUGACGGAGCAAUACCGCGUGAGGGAGGAAGGCUUUUGGGUUGUAAACCUCUUUUAUUCGGGAAGAAGAACUGACGGUACCGAAUGAAUCAGCAUCGGCUAACUCCGUGCCAGCAGCCGCGGUAAUACGGAGGAUGCAAGCGUUAUCCGGAUUUAUUGGGCGUAAAGCGUCCGCAGGUGGUUUAUCAAGUCUGCUGUCAAAGCGCGGAGCUUAACUCCGUAAGGGCGGUGGAAACUGGUAGACUAGAGUCUGGUAGGGGUCACGGGAAUUCCCAGUGUAGCGGUGAAAUGCGUAGAUAUUGGGAAGAACACCGGCGGCGAAAGCGCGUGACUGGACCGGAACUGACACUGAGGGACGAAAGCUAGGGGAGCGAAAGGGAUUAGAAACCCCAGUAGUCC
rnacentral:rRNA from 1 species